GACGAACGCUGGCGGCGUGCUUAACACAUGCAAGUCGAACGGACAGGCCCUGCUUUUGUGGGGUGCUCGAGUGGCGAACGGGUGAGUAACACGUGAGUAACCUGUCCUUGACUUUGGGAUAACUUCAGGAAACUGGGGCUAAUACCGGAUAGGAGCUCCUGCUGCAUGGUGGGGGUUGGAAAGUUUCGGCGGUUGGGGAUGGACUCGCGGCUUAUCAGCUUGUUGGUGGGGUAGUGGCUUACCAAGGGUUUGACGGGUAGCCGGCCUGGGAGGGGGACCGGCCACAUUGGGACUGCGAGACGGACCAGAAGCCUACGGGAGGCAGCAGUGGGGAAUAUUGCACAAUGGGCGGAAGCCUGAUGCAGCGACGCCGCGUGCGGGAUGACGUCCUACGGGUUGUGAACCGCUUUCGCCUGUGACGAAGCGUGAGUGACGGUAAUGGGUAAGGAAGCACCGGCUAACUACGUG
rnacentral:rRNA from 1 species